CUGGACAUGGACGGAGUGACUUCCAUUGACAGUGAUGGGAUUCGCAUGCUAGUAGAACUCCACAAACAUGUAGAAAGAAGAGGCAUCAAGUCAACUCUUAAUGGUUCAACAUCUAAUCUUGUUGACUCCUCAAGCCAACCCUAUACCAC